rnacentral:rRNA from 1 species
CCUACGGGGCGCUGCAGUGAGGAAUAUUGGUCAAUGGGCUUACGCCUGAACCAGCCAAGUCGCGUGAGGGAAUACUGCCCUAUGGGUUGUAAACCUCUUUUGUCAGGGAGCAAAUGGCGCUCCGUGUAGCGUUAUCGAGAGUACCUGAAGAAAACGCAUCGGCUAACUCCGUGCCAGCAGCCGCGGUAAUACGGAGGAUGCGAGCGUUAUCCGGAUUUAUUGGGUUAAAAGGGUGCGUAGGCGGAAUGCCAAGUCAGCGGUAAAAGCGGGGGGCUCAACCUCGCUCCGCCGUUGAAACUGGCGUUCUUGAGUGGGCGAGAAGUAUGCGGAAUGCGUGGUGUAGCGGUGAAAUGCAUAGAUAUCACGCAGAACCCCGAUUGCGAAGGCAGCAUACCGGCGCCCAACUGACGCUGAGGCACGAAAGCGUGGGUAUCGAACAGGAUUAGAUACCCGUGUAGUC